GCUACUUUCCCGAUGUGCACAAGUACAGCUCUAGAAAGAUCGUGGAUGGACUGACAGCUCCACAUUUUUUUUCUCCCCUCCUAUGCGUCCCACACACUUGCCUAAAUGAGAUGCAGGGUGAGAUCAAGACGGGCAGCAGCGGCUGUGCCUCGCCGGAGCAGAACCAGCCGGUGUGAGUGACAGGAGCCACCACCUACAUCAACACGUGGCUCGUCUGCACCGUACUCCCGUAGGGCCGCCGUGUCCACGGCAUGGUGAGGGACCUGGAUGUGCCACCUAUUCGUUUGCAUCCCUAUAUUGAAAAUCAAUCAACAAUGGAACCAAUUCAACACCUGAUUACGAAACAAUUAGAGCAAGCAUCUUGAGUUUUGGUAACCAUUCAGAAGAAACCACAAGUUGGACAGCAUAUAGACUACAAACAACUUUUUGUUUGAGAAAAAAUAGAAAAGUCCAACAAGCAACCCUUCAGGAAAGCAAUAUAUAACCAAAAAAACUAAAACAACGCCAAAAUCUUAUAGACAUAAUCUAUUUGAACUAGUAGACUGCCCGUGCGUUGCCACGGGCCAACGAAUAAAUUUGUAAACAAUGCUCAAGUUACCCUUCCCAAACGAAGACAUUGCACGCAAUGUUCAACCAAAACACAAAUGCAAGUAUCUUCUCUCUAUUCCAACAAACGCCAUGCACCCCAUCUAGCCUCUCUUUUCUAUUGAACUUCUCCCUAGCACUCUUUGUCCAUACAUCAACCAUCCUCUCAAUCUACUGCCCCUUAUUCUUUAUGUGGCUUCUAUGUCAUUGUUUUGUUGUCUCGCUCUACUACGUAUGUUAAAAAUAUAGCAUAUACAAGGCACCUCACCUUAGUAGAAAUGGUAAGAAAAUGUGCCAUAUGAACAUGAAAACAUUCUUUCCACAAGUUCAUUCACAAACUAAUAAUGCUUUGUUUAUCUCUCUGCUCUACUUCCAUCUCCACCUAAGAUGCAUAUCCCCGUCACUUUAUCUCACUAAUACAUUUUUUCCUACGAGCCUCAAAUAUACAUACAAGAAUCACACUACGAGGUUGCGUCAUUGUCAUUCCAUCUCUUCUUUCACUUCGGCACUUUUGGUAGAACGGCCGUGCGUUGCCACGGGCCUUUUAAUUUUUCGGCCCUGAGAACAAAUUAUGCAUUUGUGCUCAAAAUCAAUGUAUUCUCAUGCUAGACCCUGUAUUCUAUUUCCCCUUGACAUUUCCAGGUUCAGACAAAACUCUUAACAAAAAAAGGUAGACAUAUCCAUCUAUCGAACCAACAUCACCUUGAUUCAGAGGAGAUCCAUUGUCUCCUUAGGGGCGAGUCAUUUUUUUCUUCCCUGCCACAAGUGUGCUUCAUUCACUCAUACUACCACUUCCGGUACUGUGCAUCAAGUUGCAUAAACUUCACUACUGAAAUAGUAAUAUUCAGCUAUCUUACCAUACGACUUCAAUAAUCAGUAACAAUUUCCAAUCGAAGUUCCCAGUUCAAAAAGUAGAGUGGUCUACUUCAUCAUGCUCUCGCAGGGUGGAUUUCCUCAUCCAUUAUAUAAACUUUAUUUAUCAUGCACUCUUUCUGAUGGAUUUGGUUGCAUAAGUCUAAAAUAGCAUCAGAUUAAAUCAAACAGCAUUAUACAUAACAAGCUGCAAUUCUACAGAAUCUGCUUACCUCUAUAGGUGCAUGAUAUCCCGGACGUCAUACUGGCCACCCUUAGAUGGGGCCACCUCGUCGUCAACCGCUCCCGCAUCCCUCACCCUGUCAAAUCCGGUCGCAGCAUACUCGGAAUUCAAGAAUGCCCGUGCGGCGUUAGUGAAAUAGAUUAGCACAUUCUAGCCAAACGUAGCGCCUUCCAGCAGUCCUGUGGUCAUUACGAAGGAUCGAUGUCCCUGCCCCUAUUCCACUUUCAAUAUGAUGCAUCCAUAUUCUGUUUAUAAUAAUUCCUCGCAGAUUUCAGUUGCAUAAUCAACACUUUUAUUAUGCGAACCAAUUAAUGAACCAGAGAAGGAUUUUUAUUGUUACCUUUGGCUUUAAGUCAUGUAUGUUUACGGAAAAAGGCUUUCGCCCCGCUUUAUAUAUAAAGCACCGUUCAAUAUCACCCAGUACAAACUCACGCCCACACACCCAAGGCAAGAUACAUAAGCGCUGAGCGCGGCAAUACCAUCCCUAGCACUACGUGAAGAGGUGAAACCACAUAUGAUGAACCCGUGGGCUCCUAGGCAGCGCCUUCAUGAAGGGGACGACACCAGAGCGCCGCCGCCGCUCGAUCCGAGGAUAGAGUUUCCCCCGGAGCAACACAAAGGGCAAUGAGAGCCGC
rnacentral:lncRNA from 1 species